rnacentral:rRNA from 1 species
AGCAGCCGCGGUAAUUCCAGCUCCAAUAGCGUAUAUUAAAGUUGUUGCAGUUAAAAAGCUCGUAGUUGAAUUUCGGGAUCAAUACGUCGGUCGUGCUUCGGUACGUACUGGCGUCAUUGAUUUCUCCCUUCUGACGAACCAUGAUGUCAUUAACUUGGUGUCAUGGGAAAUCAGGACUGUUACUUUGAAAAAAUUAGAGUGUUUAAAGCAGGCUCACGCUUGAAUACAUUAGCAUGGAAUAAUGAAAUAGGACGUUCGAUCCUAUUUUGUUGGUUUUUAGGAUCAACGUAAUGAUUAAUAGGGAUAGUUGGGGGCAUUAGUAUUCAAUUGUCAGAGGUGAAAUUCUUGGAUUUAUUGAAGACUAACUACUGCGAAAGCAUUUUGCCAAGGAUGUUUUCAUUAAUCAAGAACGAAAGUUAGGGGAUCGAAGACGAUCAGAUACCGUCGUAGUCUUAACCAUAAACUAUGCCGACUAGGGAUCGGAUGAUGUUAAUUUUUUAAUGACUCA